UACGGAGGGAGCUAGCGUUGUUCGGAAUUACUGGGCGUAAAGCGCGCGUAGGCGGUUACUCAAGUCAGAGGUGAAAGCCCGGGGCUCAACCCCGGAACUGCCUUUGAAACUAGAUUGCUAGAAUCCUGGAGAGGUGAGCGGAAUUCCGAGUGUAGAGGUGAAAUUCGUAGAUAUUCGGAAGAACACCAGUGGCGAAGGCGACUCACUGGACAGGUAUUGACGCUGAGGUGCGAAAGCGUGGGGAGCAAACAGG
rnacentral:rRNA from 1 species